rnacentral:rRNA from 1 species
UACAGAGGUCUCAAGCGUUGUUCGGAUUCACUGGGCGUAAAGGGCGCGUAGGUGGCCAGGAAAGUCUGAUGUGAAAUCUUCGAGCUCAACUCGGAAACUGCAUUGGAAACUAUUUGGCUAGAGGGUCGGAGGGGGGACUGGAAUUCUCGGUGUAGCAGUGAAAUGCGUAGAUAUCGAGAGGAACACCAGUGGCGAAGGCGAGUCCCUGGACGACUCCUGACACUGAGGCACGAAAGCGUGGGGAGCAAACAGG